rnacentral:lncRNA from 1 species
GCUGGCCAGGGGCUGUGGCCGGAAGAGCCUGAGUCUGGGGCCCACAGCAGGCCAGGCACAACUCUGCCACUCCCCAGGGAAGGAGAUGACUUUUAUCAUCAGUACAUGUCACAAGAAAACAUUUAAAAUGACACUGAAACAAUCAUUGAAAUCAUGGUGCAUGGAGGAAAAAGCCACUUCUCGACAUGGUCUGCACAUACAGUAGAUACAUUCAUUAUUGUCCAAGGGAAGACAGUAACUGCCUUUCAUUUUAAAGAGCUUGGUGGAGAGGCUGAAGAAAUGUGCUGCAGCUGAAGCUACCUUUCCCCCAAGCACAGGAGGCCUCAGCUCCUGAAGCUCUGAAUUUACAGUACACAGUAGCAGACGGCUUGCCCUUUGGAAGGC